rnacentral:rRNA from 1 species
AACGAACGCUGGCGGCAUGCCUAACACAUGCAAGUCGAACGAGACCUUCGGGUCUAGUGGCGCACGGGUGCGUAACGCGUGGGAACCUGCCCUUAGGUUCGGAAUAACUCCCCGAAAGGGGUGCUAAUACCGGAUAAUGUCUUCGGACCAAAGAUUUAUCGCCUUUGGAUGGGCCCGCGUUGGAUUAGCUAGUUGGUAGGGUAAAAGCCUAACAAGGCGACGAUCCAUAGCUGGUCUGAGAGGAUGAUCAGCCACACUGGGACUGAGACACGGCCCAGACUCCUACGGGAGGCAGCAGUGGGGAAUAUUGGACAAGGGGCGAAAGCCUGAUCCAGCAAUGCCGCGUGAGUGAUGAAGGCCUUAGGGUUGUAAAGCUCUUUUACCCGGGAUGAUAAUGACAGUACCGGGAGAAUAAGCGCCGGCUAACUCCGUG